rnacentral:rRNA from 1 species
CUACGGGGUGCUGCAGUGGGGAAUAUUGCACAAUGGGCGCAAGCCUGAUGCAGCAACGCCGCGUGAAGGAUGAAGGCCUUCGGGUUGUAAACCUCUUUUAGCAGGGAAGAAGCGAAAGUGACGGUACCUGCAGAAAAAGCACCGGCUAACUACGUGCCAGCAGCCGCGGUAAUACGUAGGGUGCAAGCGUUGUCCGGAAUUAUUGGGCGUAAAGAGCUCGUAGGCGGUUUGUCACGUCUGCUGUGAAAAUCCAAGGCUCAACCUUGGACUUGCAGUGGGUACGGGCAGGCUAGAGUGCGGUAGGGGAGAUGGGAAUUCCUGGUGUAGCGGUGGAAUGCGCAGAUAUCAGGAGGAACACCAAUGGCGAAGGCACAUCUCUGGGCCGUAACUGACGCUGAGGAGCGAAAGCGUGGGGAGCAAACAGGAUUAGAUACCCCGGUAGUC